UACAGAGGUGGCAAGCGUUGUUCGGAAUUACUGGGCGUAAAGGGCUCGUAGGUGGCCAACUAAGUCAGACGUGAAAUCCCUCGGCUUAACCGGGGAACUGCGUCUGAUACUGGAUGGCUUGAGUUUGGGAGAGGGAUGCGGAAUUCCAGGUGUAGCGGUGAAAUGCGUAGAUAUCUGGAGGAACAUCGGUGGCGAAGGCGGCAUCCUGGACCAACACUGACACUGAGGAGCGAAAGCCAGGGGAGCAAACGGG
rnacentral:rRNA from 1 species